GGGGCUAUGGCGCAGCUGGUAGCGCAUCUGCAUGGCAUGCAGGGGGUCACGGGUUCGAAUCCCGUUAGCUCCA
rnacentral:tRNA from 2 species